CAGUCGCCACGGUAAUACGAAGGGGGCUAGCGUUGCUCGGAAUGACUGGGCGUAAAGGGCGCGUAGGCGGAUUGCGCAGUCAGAUGUGAAAUUCCUGGGCUUAACCUGGGGGCUGCAUUUGAGACGCGUAGUCUAGAGUGUGAAAGAGGGUCGUGGAAUUCCCAGUGUAGAGGUGAAAUUCGUAGAGAUCGGAAGGAACAUCUGUGGCGAAGGCGACUAUCUGGGCCAACACUGACACUGAGGCACGAAAGCGUGGGGAGCAAACAGGAUUAGAUACCCCGGUAGUCCCUGUCUCUUAUAC
rnacentral:rRNA from 1 species